AUUGAACGCUGGCGGCAUGCCUUACACAUGCAAGUCGAACGGCAGCACGGGUGCUUGCACCUGGUGGCGAGUGGCGAACGGGUGAGUAAUACAUCGGCACAUGUCCUCUGGUGGGGGGAAGCCCGGCGAAAGCCGGAUCAAUAACGCAUACGAUCUACGGAUGACAGCGGGGGACCUUCGGGCCUCGCGCUGUAGGGGUGGCGGAUGGCUGAUUAGCUAGUGGGGGGGGGAAAGGCCUACCAAGGCGACGAUCAGGAGCUGGUCUGAGAGGACGACCGGCCACACUGGGACUGAGACACGGCCCAGACUCCUACGGGAGGCAGCAGUGGGGAAUUUUGGACAAUGGGCGAAAGUCUGAUCCAGCAAUGCCGCGUGUGUGGAGAAGGCCUUCGGUUUGUAAAGCACUUUUGUCCGGAAAGAAAUCCUUGGCCCUAAUACGGUCGGGGGAUGACGGUACCGGAAGAAUAAGCACCGGCUAACUACGUG
rnacentral:rRNA from 1 species